rnacentral:rRNA from 1 species
GACGAACGCUGGCGGCGUGCUUAACACAUGCAAGUCGAACGAAGUGGCGAACGGGUGAGUAACGCGUAAUCAACCUGCCCUUCAGAGGGGGACAACAGUUGGAAACGACUGCUAAUACCGCAUAGUGAAGGAGGGGAGUGCGUUGGAUUAGCUAGUUGGAGGGGUAACCGCCCACCAAGGCGAAGGUCAGUAGGCGGGCUGGGGGGGAUGACCGCCACAAUGGGAACUGGGCACGGCCCCAGCCCCCUCGGGGAGCAGGAGUGGGGGAUCUUCCGCAAUUGGCGGAAGUCCGGCGGCACAAAGGCGGGUGAGUGAAAGCAGGCUUUGGGUUUUUAAAGUAUUUUCAUCGGGGCGCGGUACCGGAAGAAGAAGCCACGGCUAACUACGUGCCAGCAGCCGCGGUAAUAC